GACGAACGCUGGCGGCGUGCCUAAUACAUGCAAGUCGAACGCUGAAGGAGGAGCUUGCUCUUCUGGAUGAGUUGCGAACGGGUGAGUAACGCGUAGGUAACCUGCCUGGUAGCGGGGGAUAACUAUUGGAAACGAUAGCUAAUACCGCAUAAGAGUAGAUGUUGCAUGACAUUUACUUAAAAGGUGCAAUUGCAUCACUACCAGAUGGACCUGCGUUGUAUUAGCUAGUUGGUGGGGUAACGGCUUACCAAGGCGACGAUACAUAGCCGACCUGAGAGGGUGAUCGGCCACACUGGGACUGAGACACGGCCCAGACGCCUACGGGAGGCAGCAGUAGGGAAUCUUCGGCAAUGGACGGAAGUCUGACCGAGCAACGCCGCGUGAGUGAAGAAGGUUUUCGGAUCGUAAAGCUCGGUUGUAAGAGAAGAACGAGUGUGAGAGUGGAAAGUUCACACUGUGACGGUAGCUUACCAGAAAGGGACGGCUAACUACGUG
rnacentral:rRNA from 1 species